rnacentral:rRNA from 1 species
AACGAACGCUGGCGGCGCGCCUAACACAUGCAAGUCGAACGAGAAUCCGGGGCAACCCGGUAGUAAAGUGGCAAACGGGUGAGGAAUACAUGGGUAACCUACCCUUGAGAAGGGAAUAACCCGCCGAAAGGUGAGCUAAUACCCUAUACGCUAUCUUUUUUUCGAAAAGGAUAGGAAAGCCGGGUCGAGGACCUGGUACUCAAGGAGGGGCUCAUGUCCUAUCAGCUUGUUGGUGGGGUAACGGCCUACCAAGGCUACGACGGGUAGCUGGUCUGAGAGGAUGAUCAGCCACACCGGCACUGAGAUACGGGCCAGACUCCUACGGGAGGCAGCAGUGAGGAAUAUUGCACAAUGGGGGAAACCCUGAUGCAGCCAUGCCGCGUGUGUGAAGAAGGCCUUAGGGUUGUAAAGCACUUUCAGUGGGGAGGAAAGGGUGGAAGCUAAUACCUUUCAUCUGUGACGUUACCCACAGAAGAAGCACCGGCUAACUCCGUGCCAGCAGCCGCGG